AAGACUGAUCCAAAUUACCUGGCACAGGCUGUUUAAAGAACUUGCUUGACUCACCUAUAUUGAGGAAGCUUGGAGCAUCCGUAGUUCAAGACAAGAGUGGUUAAAAAGUGAUAAAAUCAUUCACCAUCAAGGGUGCCCUUGGUAAAGCAUCAAACAUCCUGAGGAUUAUUCCUGCCACUAGCCACAAAAGGAUGCCAUUUCAGGGCAACAGAAAGAUGCAGAGAGCAUUGCAGAGUCAUCUUUGAAAGUUUCUACGCUACGGAGAAGAGUCAGAUAAUCAUACAGACUCCUGUGGGGAAGGUAUCCACCAGGACACUUCAAAAACUUAACAUUCUUCAUGUAGUGAUACUUUACAGCAGGGAUUACCCUAUUGCUUUAAUGGUGUCUUGUUCAAAACAGCUGGUGUACAUUGGAAUAACUCCUUUAUAGUGAAAAGGUUCAUGCCUGUUCAUUUCACUCACAGAAACCUGAAUUCAGAAUGUCUUGACACUGGUAGCACCAUGUCCUAGCUGACAUUUUCUCCUGUUAAAAUUGUUUUUUACUUUUAAACUUUAUAUGAUGCCUUAAUUUUUUUUUUUCCAGAUAGCUUCUUAAUUUUUCAUUGAGCUCAUUCUUUUGACAACAUAUUUAUACCCUUUUCCUUCCCAAAAAAUAAAAGGGUAGAACAUACACACAAAAAGGCAAUAUAUAUUUGGACCUUUAUAUUGUAAUUACAGUUUACAGAAUACUUUAUAGAUUUUUUUUUACCUCCAGUUUAUGAAUUUUGGAGAUUAAACUUGAAUUUAAAUACUUUUGCAAUGACUAAAUUGGGGGAUUUUUUAAAUUAAAAAAAGUCAUGCAAGAUGAUUUUAAAGUUUUUUUCAUGAUUAAUAUUUUCUGGGCGAAUACAUUUGCUGUGUGACUUAUUUCUGGUUAGAAACCAUAUUUCUGAUUUGAGUCCAGUAUGAAUAGGGAGCAUAACGUUUUCAGAGUUUGUUGUGUCUAGGUGUAUUAUGGUACUUUCAAAAGUUCAUCUUGUAUGAAUAUUUUAUCAGUGAACUUCUUUCUCGGAUGAAAUGCACAAAAGUUUGCAAAGAAAAAAUAUCUAUCUCAAUGUGUGUAAACAAAAAUUAUACUUAUUGUAUUUGGAAUUUGUUGUUGUUGAAAAUAAACAGUAUCCUGAUAAAUGAA